rnacentral:rRNA from 1 species
UACGUAGGUGGCGAGCGUUGUCCGGAAUCACUGGGCGUAAAGGGCGCGUAGGCGGUUAAUUAAGUCAGGUGUGUAAACCGCAGGCUUAACCUGAGGAUUGCACCUGAUACUGGAUAACUUGAGUGCAGGAGAGGGCAGUGGAAUUCCUAGUGUAGCGGUGAAAUGCGUAGAUAUUAGGAAGAACACCAGUGGCGAAGGCGAUUCUCUGGACUGUAACUGACGCUGAGGCUCGAAAGCGUGGGGAGCAAACAGGAUUAGAUACCCCU